UUCGACUACGUUGGUUCGUCUACGUCACGGAUUCGUUCUUCUUUCAAGCGGGAUCACACGCAAGAUGAUCAUUUUCCUAGAUACCAUUACUAUCAUUGCCAUGCUAGGUGUCUCAUUUCUUUCGCUCUGUCUCGCUGCCUACCACUUAAAUGUCAGCCUCCCAACAAUGCCAUGAAAAGCCUCUAAACCCCUCCACAACCCAGCAAACCCUAUGUUAUUAUAGUGUUGCUAGUUGCAGGUACACAUGCUUCGAUGUGAAAUCAUGGAUUCACUAUUAUAUCACCAUGUUAUUGCUAAUUAAUUU
rnacentral:lncRNA from 1 species